UAUGUCACACAGAAGCAACUUCUGUCUUGUUGGCGGACUUUGUCCUUUAAUGGCUUAGAUGAAGCAAGGUGCCAUAUUGUGAGCUACUCUAUGGAGAAAACGCCCUGGAAAUCAACUGGGGAUGGGCUCUGGUCACAGCCAGCAAGAACUGAGACUCUCAGUCCAGCAACUCACAAGGAACUGAAUCCUGCCGAGAACCACAUGACGUUGGAAGUAGGAUCUUCCCCAGUCAGACCUUCAGAUGAAAUUCCAGUUCUGGCCAAAACCUUGACUGCAGCCUCAUGAGAACGUCUACAACAGAAGACUCAGCUAAUCCAUGCUCAGAUUAUUGACCCACAGAAACUACUAGGUCUUGACCGUCUUCUUGCAUCUUCACCUGCAAUCCUGUGCUGUGACCCAAGCAUUGGAUUUUUCCUAGCAAUCCCCUUUGCUUAUCUCCCCCUGCUCUCUAAACCGACCUCCCCUGUGGCCCAAUCUAUCAAGACACUUGACUCUGCUAUGAAACUGUGUUUGCAAGCUCUUGGCCUCUGGAAGAGGGAAGCCAGGGAAGCAGAGCUCCAAACAGACCCUGUCUUUGAGAACGUGCUCACAGCGCUACCAAACACAACCUCCACUUUGUCUCAGCGAUGACUUCAAGCCCUGCAAAACUCUCUGUAUAGAAGUUACAGGCAAGGAGGCCAGAAUAAGGUGAAGCCACCACUCAUGGCUCUGGGAGAACUUUGGGUCCUCAAUCUCAGUGACUUUGACCCCUGCUGACUUGAAUACAGGGAGGGAAUCCGCCGAUUGUCACUGCUCUCCAGGGCCCCCAUAUGGACUGCACUAUACUCAGGUGGGCAACUAAUUUGGUGUUUGCCACACUGUUAUUAACCCAUUGUGUGAGUGUUCGCUGUAGCUUCUCUGAAAUGCACCUUCCCUAGAAGGGCUGGGUGGAGCUGAAGUACAUGUUUUUGAAAACUCAGCCCUAGAGAUGUCCUGUUUGCGUCCUGUCAAAUGUAGGGCCAACUACUGCCAAAGUCCCCUCCUUGUUAUCCAGAGCCCCCUAUAUCAGGGCAAGAGAUCCUGCUGGCCAAUGCGCGGUCACACCAGGGUUGGAUCACGUGACCUUCAGCUUGAGCAAGUCACUGCAUUCCCUUGAACCCUAAUUUUCCCAACAAAUGCCUGAGGAUGUGAAUAUAGAACAUGUGCCCCAGACUAGGUGCUCCACUACGGCUCAUUCCCACACCAAGAAUGUUGAUUUUCUUCUCCUGAGAUCUGGGCCAUCAGCACCUUCUCAUAUUUCUUCUUUAUCCCCCAGAUGGCUGUGGGCCAGGCUGGCCUCCCAGCAGGUGCUCAGUAAAUAAUUGUUUUAUGGUGGUAAAAUGUAUUGUAUUGUUCGUUUCUCUUAUCCUCUUUGUGGAAGAGACUCCAGGAGGAGGAAAAAGUCAUUUUUCUCUCUUCUCUUUUCUUUUUUAACAGAUAAGGGCAGACUGGAUCUGGACUCCUUUGCCUCUGGAGAUGUUGAUAGCUUUUGGGUUUCAGAGCCCAGAACUGAAGCUACCAGGGCUCCUAGGUUGGGGUUCCCUGAAGCAGACCUCAGGUCAAGAGUUUGGGGGGCAAUCUGGGAAGUAGUGAAGUGGAGAAGUGAGAUUAGGCAUGGAGGGCAGCUAACACAGGCUGUGCUAAGCAGCGGGUUACUGCUGAGAGCACCUCAGGCUCCAUCCCACUUGGAUGUCUGGGAGAUUGCGUGAAACGUGCUCCCUGUGUGCUUCCACCAUCGGGGCCAGGAGCUGACGCAUUUAUCCUCAAGUCAUGGAGUGAGGUUGCUUCCAGGUCAUUAACUUCCAGGCACGUCUGGCUUGCACAGUGAGCCAAGAGCACCCCUGUUACUGUAAAAUCCCUUAAGCAGAGGCUCAGGAGCUUGUAGGCAGAAGCCGUUGGCAUCCCCAGAAAGGUGAGUUCUGGGGUUAGCAGCAGAUGCCUAGAGUGACUGCUAUACCUGGUACCCAGAAGACAGCCCUUCCACCCUAGGGGCUCAAGCUUAGUUCUGCCUGAGGAGGAGGAGGUGGAAGCAGUGCUUGGUGCUUGGGGUGACUCCUGGAGGUGGAGGAGAAGAAGGUGAUGGUGAGGUCCGCGCAUGGUGAAAUGGCUCCUCACCUUCAUGUCAAGGCCUCCAGGGGAUGAUACACAGCUGUCAGUGAUUGUGUCCUUCAGGAUAUGAUUUUGGGAGCAGCAGCUAACAAACACUGCACCCUAUAUAGACAGUAAAAUGUGACACCACCCAUUUUAAACAGACAACUUGGGCAAUGCGAAUCUUAGUGGUAGGUUGAAGACCAGAGAGGUGCUUCCCCAAGUUUUCAAGACUAUGUGAGACUCACUGUCUUCUUGGUGGCCCUGGGGAAGAAAAAGUAUCCCCAAUAGUGAGUUAUGU